UUUCCGUAGGUGAACCUGCGGAAGGAUCAUUAAAGAAUCUGCCCCGUCCUCUCGAGGAUGGGUCCUCUUCUGAACCGUGUAUACAUACCUUUGUUGCUUUGGCGGGCCGCCGUCUCGGCGUUGGCUUCGGCUGACUGUGCCCGCCAGAGAACCCCAACUCUUCUGUUUAGUAUUGUCUGAGUACUAUAUAAUAGUUAAAACUUUCAACAACGGAUCUCUUGGUUCUGGCAUCGAUGAAGAACGUAGC
rnacentral:misc_RNA from 1 species